UACAGAGGGUGCAAGCGUUGUUCGGAAUUAUUGGGCGUAAAGCGCGUGUAGGCGGCUUAGCAAGUCGGGCGUGAAAGCCCUCGGCCCAACCGAGGAAGUGCACCCGAAACUGCUGAGCUUGAGUGCCGGAGAGGAUGGCGGAAUUCCCCAAGUAGAGGUGAGAUUCGUAGAUAUGGGGAGGAACACCGGUGGCGAAGGCGGCCAUCUGGACGGUAACUGACGCUGAGACGCGAAAGCGUGGGGAGCGAACAGG
rnacentral:rRNA from 1 species